CAAGAGCGUAUGUGAAAGUUGUUGCAGUUAAAAAGCUCGUAGUUGAACCUUGGGUUUGGUUGGCCGGUCCGCUUUUUUGCGAGUACUGGAUUCAACCGAGCCUUUCCUUCUGGCUAACCAGUCGUUUCGGCGGCUGGCGAACCAGGAUUUUUACUUUGAGAAAAUUAGAGUGUUCAAAGCAGGCAUUAGCUUGAAUAUAUUAGCAUGGAAUAAUAGAAUAGGACGUUAUGGUUCUAUUUUGUUGGUUUCUAGGACCAUCGUAAUGAUUAAUAGGGACGGUCGGGGGCAUCAGUAUUCAGUUGUCAGAGGUGAAAUUCUUGGAUUUACUGAAGACUAACUACUGCGAAAGCAUUUGCCAAGGACGUUUUCAUUAA
rnacentral:rRNA from 1 species